GAUUUCCCUAGAGCAGAUCAUCUGAUUGAAGUGUUCUUGCCUGUAGACACCGGGGAGAGCUGUUGCUGCCUCCACACGAAGACACAGUGGGAUACAGUUGCCCCGCAGCAGCUCCUGAGGGCAAGUUGCAGAGGAGUUUUGUGGCCUCGACUGUAAAGCACCGAAGGGAGCAAGAAUGUUUUUUCGCAUCCCUCGCCUGACCCCUGGAUAUAUAAGAUAUCUGCAGACCCAGGCAGCCCAGACGAUGCUGCAGAGCCGGGAGAGCACUGCCACGCCACGCCUGGCCCUCCUGAUGGGUCUGCUUGGUGUGGGUUUGUCCAGCUACAGCUCCCGCCAACUCACACUCCAUUGCAAGCCAUCCACUCACCUCUUCAGAUGAAAGAGAUGGAGGAGACACCAAGUUUUUUUUGUAUAUAUAUAUAUAUGCAUAUAUACAUAUAUAUAUCUGUGUUAUUUAGAAAGUAUUUUCCUUGUGAUGGUUGUUUUCUGGAUUUUGACAAAACCAGACAAAAUCUUUAGAGAUACUGAUGACAGAAGUAUUCUACCAUUUGGCAGCUUUUAUUCCAAUAUUCAGUCUUUGAGUCACAAGUUUUAUGAACUUAAACAUGAUUAUUUCCCAAAAUAUCAACAACUGCAAACUUACUCAUCAUAUAUUUAUGUUGCUGUUUGCGGUUUCCCGUUUUCUGAUUCAGGCUCAACAUUUACCAAAGUUCUAACAAUUUAGUAUUAUUAUUUUGUUGUGUUUGGAUUGACAAGCGUGUUGCCUUACAGUUUUGUUUAAAUGGGUCCCAAUAAGAGGUACCUUUAUUUCUUCUGCACAGCAAGAGUAUUUAUUUUUUUUUGUUGAAUGUUAAAGAUGCACAGACAAAAGGAAAGGCAGCUAAUGAUGUUUCUUUGGAACUUGGUUCAUGUUGUACUUGGAUCACGGCCCUCAGCUCUCUAGUUUUCCCGUGCCUUAUCAUGGGAUUAUUCACUUAGAAGUCGCAAUUUUGCAAAAAAAAAAACAAAAAACAAAGGAAAACAUUAGUCGUGAUGCUUAUCUCAAUAUGUGAUGAAGCAAAGACAUCCUGUCAGAGAUUCACCAUGCUGUGAAGACUCAUAAAAUCUCAGAAGAGAGAAAAAAAAUCUAUUCAGGUCAAAAUUUUUGAAAGUUAACAAAUGUGUACUCUUACGCUUAUUUGUGAACGUUACCUGUAUAUGUAGCCAUGCAUGUGUUUCUUGAACACUAAAUGAGAUUAGUGCUGCAGGACAUUGAGUCCGUCCUCCUUAUUUUGUAAGGUGGACCGGGAGACAACCAGCCGGGCUCAUUUGUUGUUGCCGAGCAGAGAAACCAGGACAGCCAUCCUGGAUGCCACCUUGGGUCAACAUUUGAAUCCGCAUGGAUCUCUCUCAGUUGCACUCCACAUAUCAUAAUCUGAAUGUAGAUGAAUGACCGUUGGAGGUCUCUUAACAAAAAAUGUACCUUUUUGUGGCUGUGUACUUGUUUGUGUUUGAUGCGAUUUUUAAUGGAGAAAAUGAACUUUGACAGCACAAUGAAUGUAAAUAGGAGCAGUUAGACUGUAAUUGUAAUGAUGAUUAUAUUGAAACCUCUUUGCAAAAGCAAUGAGGUUAUGUCAAUAGCAUGACUGUAAAAGAUCCCUAAAGAUCUUCUUUAGAUAUAAACAAUCUUAAGACCAUCUUACAACUGAGACAUGAGGAAAAAAAAGUGUAAGGAAGUAGUAUAUUUAUAGGGACACUGUGUGAUUUAAAAAAAAAAAAGUUGUAUUUGAUGAUGCAGUAAUGUAUUUGAUGCAGGAUUGUGGUAUGAAGGCAUACAAUGCCUUUGCUACAUAUAUUAAAAGCAAAACUGUUGCACUAAGAGAUUUAAAUGACAGUGUUUAUGUUUCCUACAGCCAAUAUAAGACUUAUUGCAAGUUUACUGAAAUAUGUGCAGUAAAUAAAGUACAUUUAAAAAAACUGUAAUUUUUCAGAAUGGCCUGUCGGUUUGCCCUUAUGGACCCGAUGCACUUAAUAAACAUUGUGCACAAUUGUUUAUGUUUCAAUAAAUUAUUAAAAACCUCA